UGAUAAGGUUUACGGUCCCAGCGGUGAUUUGCAGCUCCUGCUCCACAGCGCAGGUCGCUGAGCUCGGAGAAGGACAAUGAACUGAUCCAGAUCACAUAAAUGGUUUUGGGGACAGAGUACCCUGGCGGUUUGAAAAUGCCCACCUACCCUGGAUUUCAUCAUAGAAAGAGGCGUGCCUUCUCUUCACAUCAAUGACAUUGGAUUGCACAAGGAUCUCCUGGUUCUGUCUUCUUGACAAGAGGAGAAUGCAGCUCAGAAAAGGGAAGGCUGGAAACAAAUAAAGUGAGCCAUCUGUAGGCCUUCACCAUGGUGUGGCAGAAAAGUGGUGAAGGGUGAAAGGCCACAGACUCGCUGCCACGCGUGCUGUCAUGUGACAUCAGUCCCAUGUUGAACUUGUGAGGUGUCUCUUUGGUGUGGCUGGAAAGUGAAAAGCAUGCCCUGCAAACAAUAUCUGACUUUUGUAAAUUUAUUUUUAAUAAGCAUACUUUACAGUAGCCUCUUUUACAUACAGUUUUAUGAUACCUGACAGAGGCCAGUGUAACCAUCAACACAAUGAGGAUAUAGGAGAGCUCCAUUAACACACAGCAACUGCUUUCUGUUCAAACCCUUCAUAUUCAAAUACUCCACCUACCCAGUAACCCUGCAGACCACCAUCAGUUCUUCAUCCCUCUAGCUUUGCCUUUUACACGAUGUCAUAUAAAUGGAAAUCUGGAUUUGUUCAUUUGCAUAAUGUGUAAUGUAUUCGAGAUCCAUCCCUGUUGUUGUGUCUAUCAGUAAUCUGUUCUUGUUUGUGGCCCUGGGGCAUUCUAUUGUAUGGAUACCCCAGGGCUUGUUCAUCCAUGCAUCAGUUGAAGGACAUUUGGGUUGUUCCCAGGUUUGGGUGAUUACCAAGGAAACUGCUAUAAAUAUUUACAUCCAUGUUUCUGUGUGACCUAAGUUUUUGUGUCCUUGGGUAAAUACCUAGAAGUAGAAGAGCUGAAUCUGGGAUGAGUACAAGUUUAACUUUGUAAGAAAUUGCCAAACUGUUUGUAAAGUGAUUGUAUCAUUUUGCAUCCCCACCUGCAACGUAUCACAAUACUAGUCUACCAUCUCGCCAACACUUAGUAUUGUCAGGUACUAUUAUUGUCAUUGUGGUUGUAGCAAUUCUAGAGAGUGUGGGGUGGCAUUUUAUUCUGGAUUUAAUCUGCAUUCUCCUUAUUACUGAUGAUGUUGAGCAUCUAUUCAUACCUGCCAUCAUAUAUUUUCUUCAGUGAAAUGUAUGUUCAAACAUUUUGUCCCAUGUUAGAUGAGUUAUUUCCUU